rnacentral:misc_RNA from 1 species
GAGUGAUUAGUUUUCAAGUCUGCAUUUUAGAAUUUUUUCACUAUCAGUAUUCAUAGCUACAACUCUGAAUGGAAAAAAAAUACAUUCUAGUUAAAAAUUAUUUGCAAAACAGGGACUUGUCUCCGUAGACAUGGUGAUUGGAAAUCAAUUAAUAUGUGAAGAUAAGAUUCUCUCUCUUGUAUCUGUCCUCUGAGAAUAUGUUACUGUGGUCAUAUCAACUCUGAUAAAAUUGGGUAGGUUUGUUUCAUUUAGGUAUUUAUUUUUUGUUGUACUAUUUUAUUGUACCUUGGGUCAUGUAUGUUUAAUUCUUUCCAUUCACUUGUAUACUUUGAUAUUAUAGGUGAUAAAAAUCUAUUAUCAGUUCAUAAUUCUGAUGGCUGACUUCUUUGUUUUGGGUUUUUGUAGAGAGAAGCAGUGGAGGCACUCA